rnacentral:rRNA from 1 species
AGAGUUUGAUCCUGGCUCAGAACGAACGCUAGCGGCGUGCCUAACACAUGCAAGUCGUACGAGAAAUCCCGGGCAACUGGGAGAGUAAAGUGGCGCACGGGUGAGUAACGCGUGGGUAAUCUACCUUGGAGUUCGGAAUAACACCUCGAAAGGGGUGCUAAUACCGGAUAUCGUCCCAGGGGUUUCGGCUCCGGGGAUGAAAGAUGGCUGAGGCUUGCAAGCUAUUGCUCCAAGAUGAGCCCGCGUACCAUUAGCUAGUUGGUGGGGUAACGGCCCACCAAGGCAAUGAUGGCUAGCUGGUCUGAGAGGAUGACCAGCCACACUGGAACUGAGAUACGGUCCAGACUCCUACGGGAGGCAGCAGUGAGGAAUCUUGCGCAAUGGGGGCAACCCUGACGCAGCAACGCCGCGUGAGUGAUGAAGGCCUUCGGGUCGUAAAGCUCUGUCAGGCGGAAAGAAUGUUUCCAGGGUGAACAAUCCUGGAGAUUGACGGUACCGCCAGAGGAAGCACCGGCUAACUCCGUGCCAGCAGCCGCGGUAAUACGGAGGGUGCUAGCGUUGUUCGGAAUUAUUGGGCGUAAAGAGCGUGUAGGCGGCCUCGUAAGUCAGAUGUGAAAGCCCUUGGCUUAACCAAGGAAGUGCAUUUGAAACUGCCUGGCUUGAGUACGGGAGGGGAAAGCGGAAUUCCCGGUAUAGAGGUGAAAUUCGUAGAUAUCGGGAGGAACACCGGUGGCGAAGGCGGCUUUCUGGACCGAUACUGACGCUGAGACGCGAAAGCGUGGGGAGCAAACAGGAUUAGAUACCCUGGUAGUCCACGCCGUAACUUUGGGCACUAGGUGUUGCGGGUAUUGACCCCUGCAGUGCCGAAGCUAACGCAUUAAGUGCCCCGCCUGGGGAGUACGGUCGCAAGACUAAAACUCAAAGGAGUUGACGGGGGCCCGCACAAGCGGUGGAGUAUGUGGUUCAAUUCGACGCAACGCGAAGAACCUUACCUGGGUUUGACAUCCCGAGAAUCCCGCAGAAACGCGGGCGUGCCUCUUCGAGGAACUCGGUGACAGGUGCUGCAUGGCUGUCGUCAGCUCGUGUCGUGAGAUGUUGGGUUAAGUCCCGCAACGAGCGCAACCUUUGCCUUUAGUUGCCAGCAUUGAGUUGGGCACUCUAAAGGGACUGCCGGUGUUAAACCGGAGGAAGGUGGAGAUGACGUCAAGUCCUCAUGGCCCCUAUGUCCAGGGCUACACACGUACUACAAUGGCCGGUACAAAGAGCUGCGAACCCGCGAGGGGGGGCUAAUCUCGGAAAGCCGGCCUCAGUUCGGAUCGGAGUCUGCAACUCGACUCCGUGAAGUUGGAAUCGCUAGUAAUCGCGGAUCAGCAUGCCGCGGUGAAUACGUUCCCGGGCCUUGUACACACCGCCCGUCACACCACGAAAGUUGAUUGUACCAGAAGUCGUUUAGCUAACCUUGAGCAAUCGAGGAGGCGGGCGCCUAAGGUAUGGUCAAUGAUUGGGGUGAAGUCGUAACAAGGUA